GCUACGGGAGGCAGCAGUGGGGAAUAUUGGGCAAUGGGCGCAAGCCUGACCCAGCAACGCCGCGUGAAGGAAGAAGGCUUUCGGGAUGUAAACUUCUUUUAAGAGGGAAGAGCAGAAGACGGUACCUCUUGAAUAAGCCACGGCUAACUACGUGCCAGCAGCCGCGGUACUACGUAGGGGGCAAGCGGUGUCCGGAUUUACUGGGGGGAAAGGGCGGGGAGCCGGGCUGACAAGUCAGAUGUGGAAUCCCGUGGCUCAACCCCGGAACUGCAUUUGAAACUGUCGGUCUUGAGUAUCGGAGAGGCAGGCGGCAUUCCUAGUGUAGCGGUGAAAUGCGUAGAUAUUAGGAGGAACACCAGUGGCGAAGGCGGCCUGCUGGACGACAACUGACGGUGAGGCGCGAAAGCGUGGGGAGCAAACAGGAUUAGAUACCCGAGUAGUC
rnacentral:rRNA from 1 species